rnacentral:ncRNA from 2 species
GUUUUCUACUAGGGGGGUCCGUAGGCGGGCUGAGAGAGAAUGAACCAUUUCUCGACCCUUUGAACCUGAUCUGGCUUAUACCAGCGUAGGGAAGUAGCUAGCAAAGACU